rnacentral:rRNA from 1 species
GACGAACGCUGGCGGCGUGCCUAAUACAUGCAAGUCGAACGAACCGCGACUAGGUGCUUGCACUUGGUCAAGGUGAGUGGCGAACGGGUGAGUAACACGUGGGUAACCUACCUCAUAGUGGGGGAUAACAGUCGGAAACGACUGCUAAUACCGCAUAGGACAUGGGAUCACAUGAUUCUGUGAGGAAAGGUGGCGCAAGCUAUCGCUAAGAGAUGGACCCGCGGUGCAUUAGCUAGUUGGUAGGGUAACGGCCUACCAAGGCGAUGAUGCAUAGCCGACCUGAGAGGGUGAUCGGCCACAUUGGGACUGAGACACGGCCCAAACUCCUACGGGAGGCAGCAGUAGGAAAUCUUCCGCAAUGGACGCAAGUCUGACGGAGCAACGCCGCGUGAGUGAAGAAGGUCUUCGGAUCGUAAAGCUCUGUUGUUAGAGAAGAACAGCGCAUAGAGUAACUGUUAUGCGUGUGACGGUAUCUAACCAGAAAGCCACGGCUAACUACGUG